UACGGAGGGUGCAAGCGUUAUCCGGAUUCACUGGGUUUAAAGGGUGCGUAGGCGGACAGGUAAGUCAGUGGUGAAAUCUUUGGGCUUAACCCGAAAACUGCCAUUGAUACUAUCUGUCUUGAAUAUUGUGGAGGUUAGCGGAAUAUGUCAUGUAGCGGUGAAAUGCUUAGAUAUGACAUAGAACACCAAUUGCGAAGGCAGCUAACUACACACAUAUUGACGCUGAGGCACGAAAGCGUGGGGAUCAAACAGG
rnacentral:rRNA from 1 species